rnacentral:rRNA from 1 species
GGACGAACGCUGGCGGCGUGCCUAACACAUGCAAGUCGAACGAAGCUUGAAUUCAGAUUUCUUCGGAAUGAAGAAUGAUAUGACUGAGUGGCGGACGGGUGAGUAACGCGUGAGCAACCUGCCCUUCGGAGGGGGAUAGUGUCUGGAAACGGACAGUAAUACCGCAUAACGUAUUUUUACCGCAUGAUAGAAAUACCAAAACUGAGGUGCCGAAGGAUGGGCUCGCGUUGGAUUAGAUAGUUGGUGGGGUAACGGCCUACCAAGUCAACGAUCCAUAGCCGGACUGAGAGGUUGAACGGCCACAUUGGGACUGAGACACGGCCCAGACUCCUACGGGAGGCAGCAGUGGGGAAUAUUGCACAAUGGGGGAAACCCUGAUGCAGCAACGCCGCGUGAAGGAAGACGGUUUUCGGAUUGUAAACUUCUGUUCUUAGUGAAGAAAAAUGACGGUAGCUAAGGAGCAAGCCACGGCUAACUACGUGCCAGCAGCCGCGGUAAUACGUAGGUGGCAAGCGU